AUCUGUCAGUGAUGUUAUAUUUUACCUACAUUGUUUGAAUUGCUGUGAGAACAUUUUUAUACUCUGAGACAGAU